UUCUUCUUUCUUCUUAUAUUUCUUUAUCUUUCUUUCUUUUCCUUAUGCUAUUUUCCAUUAUUUCUAUAUGCCCGCUGCCGUCAGUAAGCCUUUGUAAUCAAAAGAGGCAAAGUCAAAUGUUAACAAAGAAAUAAACCCGAAAACAACCCUCAUAUUGCUACAGCGUUUGAAAAUCGCUUGAAAGCAAGAUGUUCAAAUUCGUUAUUUCAAAGGUAUGCAUCGCGAAGCUGUCAAAUGUUUGCACUACAUAUAUUUCCCUACCUUAUUUGUAAAAAUUAUCUUCCCCUACCCGUCGGCAGUAUAGCUCCAAGACCUUGAAAACACCCCUUUGUCUACAUUGAAUUUCCCCCGAAUUUCAUUCCAGUAAAAUCUUGUCACACACAGUUGAGCUUCAUUCUUAUAGUUUUCCACAUUUCAAAAAUGGUCUUGUGUCGUGUUUCUUAUUUGAUGACUGGUAAAAAGAGUUUGUGCGAGUGUUCGUCUAUGGAUGACAUGCUUGAUCAAGCUUCGUCGAAGUGUCUCGUCGAUAAAGUUCUGUUGAUUUUGGAGACGGCUGAUGGAUUUGAAGUUGAAGACGAACUCUCUUUCAGUGUCUAUGUGAGUAACACUGAGGAACCUUCUUUCUUUGUAAAAAAAAAUGUGAUAUAACAGAGCCGCAUCCAACACCAAGUGUCGAAAAUUCUCCGUCGGAUGGAGCCAAGGAGAAGGGCUUAUUUGACGACUUGAGAAAAAUAAUCGAAACGUCAGGAAGGCCCUCAACGGGAAGAACGGGAGUUGCAACAUAUUCAAUUUUUUCCGGAGGACACAAAUUUGAAUUCUGCCAUUGUAGCCGAUGCAUCCCGCGGGAUGAAACAACCAGGACUGAUUAUACUUGGAGUGGACCAAUUCUACCUUAAAUUAGAUGAGCAUGCAGUCAAACUUGGAGUUGGUUGCGUGUCAGAGGCCAUGGGAUAUGUUUUGGGGGCUUAUUUUGUGUUUAAUUGCUCAUAUCCGCCUCUGUGGCACAUGGUUUUUUGUUUUUUUGGAAGAAGUUGUAAAUAUUCCUAAAGAACUUAGGAGCGUAAUAUCUUCAAUCACCAUUAGAAAUUUCGUGUCAAAACUUUCCAAAGUAUCUAAUUAGUUAGCAAUGUAUUAAGUUGGAACUGGGAAAAUACAAUGUCUUUGAGUAAAUUCA